AACGAACGCUGGCGGCGUGCCUAACACAUGCAAGUCGUGCGAGAAAGUUCCUUCGGGAGCGAGUAAAGCGGCGCACGGGUGAGUAACACGUAGGUAACCUGCCCCCCAGUCUGGAACAACUAGAGGAAGCUCUAGCUAAUGCCGGAUGAGACCACGAUCCCUUCGGGGGUUGCGGCCAAAGAUGGCCUCUACUUGUAAGCUAUCGCUGAGGGAUGGGCCUGCGGGCCAUUAGCUUGUGGUGAGGUAACGGCUCACCAAGGACUGUGAUGGCGUAGCUGGUC
rnacentral:rRNA from 1 species